UCCGGCUUAUCACCGGCAGUUUCCUUAGAGUGCCCAGCUUGACCUGAUGGUAACUAAGGAUGAGGGUUGCGCUCGUUGCGGGACUUAACCCAACAUCUCACGACACGAGCUGACGACGGCCAUGCAACACUUGUAAUAGUCCGGCCGAACCGACUAACAGAUCUCUCUGUCAUAUGACUACUAUGUCAAGGCCUGGUAAGGUUUUUCGCGUGACAUCGAAUUAAACCACAUGUUCCACCGCUUGUGCGGGUCCCCGUCAAUUCCGUUUGAGUUUUAAUCUUGCGACCGUACUUCCCAGGCGGAGUGCUUAACGCGUUAGCUACGACACCGAGAAUAAAUCCCAAUAUCUAGCACUCAUCGUUUAGGGCGUGGACUAC
rnacentral:misc_RNA from 1 species